UACGUAGGGUGCGAGCGUUGUCCGGAAUUAUUGGGCGUAAAGAGCUUGUAGGCGGUUUGUCGCGUCUGCUGUCGAAAAUCGAGGCUCAACCUCGGACUUGCAGUGGGUACGGGCAGACUAGAGUGUGGUAGGGAGACUGGAAUUCCUGGUGUAGCGGUGAAAUGCGCAGAUAUCAGGAGGAACACCGAUGGCGAAGGCAGGUC
rnacentral:rRNA from 1 species